CCUACGGGGGAGCAGCAGUCGAGAAUCAUUCACAAUGAGGGCAACCCUGAUGGUGCGACGCCGCGUGGGGGAAUGAAGGUCUUCGGAUUGUAAACCCCUGUCAUGUGGGAGCAAAUUAAAAAGAUAGUACCACCAGAGGAAGAGACGGCUAACUCUGUGCCAGCAGCCGCGGUAAUACAGAGGGCUCAAGCGUUGUUCGGAAUCACUGGGCGUAAAGCGUGCGUAGGGUGUUUAGUUAGGCGUGUGUGAAAGGCGCGGGGUUAACUCGCAGACGGCACAUGAUACUGCGUGACUUGAGUAAUGGAGGGGAGACGGGAAUUCUCGGUGUAGCAGUGAAAUGCGUAGAUAUCGGGAGGAACACUCGUGGCGAAGGCGGGUUCCUGGACAUUAACUGACGCUGAGGCACGAAGGCCAGGGGAGCGAAAGGGAUUAGAUACCCCGGUAGUC
rnacentral:rRNA from 1 species